rnacentral:tRNA from 1 species
GAAUAUUUAGCUCAGAUGGUUAAGAGCACUGCCUUGACAGGGCAAAGGUCGCUGGUUCGAAUCCAGCAAUAUUCACAA